GAGCCGGUAGCUCAGUUGGUAGAGCAACGGCCUUUUAAGCCGUGGGUCGCGGGUUCGAGUCCCGCCCGGCUCA
rnacentral:tRNA from 1 species